rnacentral:lncRNA from 1 species
UGAAAACAUGAUGAUUAAACAUAUAAUCAAAACAACAAAAUCAUUGUCUGAUGUGUUCAAAACCUGAACAAAGGUUGACAGCUGCAUACUCAGAAGCUAAAAGGAAGCAUUAAAAAGAAGCAAAGAAAGAAUGGCAGUGUUAAUAAAGUCUGUGUUUGAAUUCUCUGGUUAAGGUUAGUGACAGUGCUAAGAUCUCAUGACUACAGUAAAGGACUUCAUGGUAACAACUCACCAGUCAACAAGGACUCUGGAGAGCAGCUGCUGUGGAGCUAUCACUUCCCUAGCAGGAGAUGGCAGUAAGCAGUAUUCAAGGAAAGAAGGCUUCCAAUGGCAUUUAGACAAACGAUCAUAG